GAACAUUUUCCUGGACGCUCUGACGCUAGACUCCCUUGGUAGCCUGGAGGUCCCACUUCCCAGCAGACUGGACUCUGACAAGAGGUUCCCCGAUAUGAACCAGGCUCUGAAUGAGAUCCCAGACAUAGAGGACCCAAUGUACCCGGAGGAAGAGGAGGAGGAGGAAGAGAUGGGCUUUGGCAGUCUGCUCAGGGCUAAGUCAGUCUGUUCUAUGAGUGACUUCCAGCGUCUGAUGGACAGCUCUCCUUUCCUGCCUGACAAGAGUCGUCAUGGUGACUGUGGCCAUGACGACGUGACUCCACCC
ensembl:lncRNA